rnacentral:tRNA from 1 species
CGGGAUGUAGCGCAGCCUGGUAGCGUACUUGCAUGGGGUGCAAGGGGUCGCGAGUUCGAAUCUCGCCAUUCCGA